rnacentral:tRNA from 1 species
GAAGGUGUAACUCAGUGGUAGAGUGUUUGCCUAGCUUGUUUGAGGCCCUGGGUUUGAUCCCCAGUACCACA